rnacentral:lncRNA from 1 species
CACGUGGUCGGAUGCUCCGAUUGUCCUAGAAGGAGGGUCUCGCAUUUUCAUUUGGCGCAGGGCUCCACGAAUGUCAUAGCUGCCUUGCUGUUCCCACAUCCUGCCCGUUAAAGUCCUGGCCAGGGACCCUCCCACCCCGGGCUGUGGCAGCUCGGGGCCCAUUCCUUUUCUGAGCCCAGUUUCACCCCCGCAGGGUGCUGGGUGGCUGGUCACGAGUCCUUCUGCCCCACCGCACCUCAGCCAGGCGAGGGCAAGGUCGGGGUCUUCAUCCCUUCGGCCUUGACCCCUGCUCUUCCCCAGGGGCAGUCAGGCUGUGACAGCCUGUGGGGACCCCUUGGCUCCCUCCCCGAGCCUCCUCUGCCCUGGGAUGGAGAUAACACCGUGUCAUCAUUGAACUCAACCUGAAAAAAAAUGAUCUCUUGCAAAGCUCACGGGAAAUAAUGGAGCCAUGUUGCAUGACAAACUGCAAAGCGUGGUGAACGUGUGAACAAGCGUCCAGCACCCAGUGAAGCCCCGGGCUACUGGGCCAGGAGUCAGUGGGUCCCACGGUGAAGUGGCAUGUCACGAGGUGAAGGAGGGGCGCCUGCAUUCCGGCCUGUGAACCAACUCGACGACCUUUGGACCUUCUGGAGCCUCAGUUUCCCAUACUGCCUCGGUCCCCACAUUCUGGGUCAGGAAAUCCAUUCGAGGUCGAGAGGUGGGCGAAGGAUGGCAAGACAAACCCAGGGACUGGCUCCUGAGCCCGACACGUGUCCUCACCCACCCAGGAGUCCCUUGCGUGCCCUCCAGGCUUCGCAGUGCACAGCUGCUGGGUUUGGAUGCCUUAGAGCCUAAGAUGAGGGUUCGAGUCUGCACGCUUGCUGCGGACCAAAUGUGUGUCCUCUCCAGAUCCACAAGUUGAAGCCUUAACUCCCAGUGCGAUGGCAUUUGGAGAGGGGGCCUGUGGAACGUAGUUCAGUCCUGAGGGUGUGGCCCCGAGAGGAAAUUAGUGCCCUGAGAGGAAGAGGCCCAGAGAACGGGCUCUCUCUCUGCUCUCCGCCGCUCGAGGACCCCACAAGAAGACCGUGCAGCCAUCUGCUGACAGCCACUGAAUCAUCUGGGACUUGACCUUGGGCUCCCAGCCUCCAGAACUGUGAGAAAUAAACGACGUUUGCAAUUU